GAUGAAGAACGUAGCGAAAUGCGAUACUUGGUGUGAAUUGCAGAAUCCCGUGAACCAUCGAGUCUUUGAACGCAAGUUGCGCCCGAAGCCAUUAGGCCGAGGGCACGCCUGCCUGGGCGUCACACGUCGUUGCCCCCCCAUCUACUCCUUCGGGAUUGCGGGGGGCGGAUGAUGGCCUCCCGUGCGCCUCGUCGCGCGGUUGGCAUAAAUGCCAAGUCCUCGGCGACGCACGCCACGACAAUCGGUGGUUGCGAAACCUCGGUUGCCCGUCGUGUGCGGUCGUCGCGCAUCGAGGGCUCGAAAAAAUUGCCGGGCUCCGGCUCGGCUUUCAACGCGACCCCAGGUCAGGCGGGGUUACCCGCUGAAUUUAAGCAUAUCAACAAGCGGAGGA
rnacentral:misc_RNA from 1 species